rnacentral:rRNA from 1 species
AGUGAACGCUGGCGGCAGGCCUAACACAUGCAAGUCGCACGGCAGCACAGCAAGCGCUCGCUCUCACGGGUGGCGAGUGGCGGUCGGGUGCGGAAGGCGUCGGAAUCUACUCUUUCGUGGGGGAUAACGUAGGGCAACUGACGCUAAUACCUCAUACGACCUACGGGAGAAAGCAGGCGAUCUUCGGACCUUGCGCGUUUGAAUGAGCCGAUGUCGGAGUAGCUGGUCGGCGGGGUAAAGGCCCACCAAGGCGACGAUCCGUAGCUGGUCUGAGAGGGUCAACAGGCAGACUGGCACUGAGAGUCAGCACCGACACCGGGGGGGGGCAGCAGUGCGGAAUAUUAGAGGAUGCGCGCAUGGCGGAUACUGCCAUACCGCGUGGGUGAAGAAGGACUUCGGGUUGUAAAGCGCUUUUGUUGGGAAAGAAAAGCAGCAGGUUAGGACCGGGCGGUUCUGACGGUACCCAAAGAAUAAGCCCCGGCUAACUUCGUG